rnacentral:lncRNA from 1 species
GGACUGUGGAGAGAGGAGAAGGGUAGUAGCUAGGGACUGGUGAAGAGAGAAGGGUGAGUAGCUAGGGAGCGGAGAGACAAAGGGUAGUAGCUAGGGACUGGAGAGACGAAGGGUAGUAGCUAGGGACUGGAAGAGACAGAAGGGUAGGACGCUAGGGGGAGACUGGAGAGAUAAGAGAAGGGUCAGUAGUAGGGAACUGUGAGAGAGAGAGAGAGAGAGAGAGAGAGAGAGAAGGGUAGUAGCUAGGGACUGGAGAGACAGAAGGGUAAGUACUAGGGACUGGAGAGAUAGAAGAGAGAGAGAGAGAGAGAGAAGAGAGUAGUAUAGCUAGGAGGGACUGGAGAGAGAAGAGAAGGUUAGUAUCUAGUGUACUUGGAGCAGAUUAGCUUAGUAUCUAAGGGACUGUAAAGAGAUAGUAGCUAUGGACUG